GAUGAAGAACGUAGCGAAAUGCGAUACGUAGUGUGAAUUGCAGAAUUCAGUGAAUCAUCGAAUCUUUGAACGCACAUUGCGCCCGCUAGUAUUCUGGCGGGCAUGCCUGUUCGAGCGUCAUUUCAACCCCUUAAGCCCUCGUUGCUUAGUGUUGGGAGCCCACGGCAGCCCCGCCGUCGCUCCUCAAAUCCAGUGGCGGAGCCGGUUCGCGCUCUAGGCGUAGUAGAUUUUCUCCAUCUCGCCUACGGCCGGGCCGGCCCUCCUGCCGUAAAAGAACCCCCCCUCCACAGAAGGUUGACCUCGAAUCAGGUAGGAAUACCCGCUGAACUUAAGCAUAUCAAUAAGCGGAGGA
rnacentral:misc_RNA from 1 species